GACUUACUAGGUACCCAAGGAAAGGGCAGACGAGCCCGGUACAUAAGAAACCCUAUCGUGAACGUUACCCAGUCGAACGGGGGGGUAAAAAGUCUCUUACCGAAAAGGUUCGAAAGAUAUAGUUCACCCUCAUACCAAACGGGGUAUUGAGAAGAUUGAAUGCUUGACGCCCAUUACCGAGCGGGAUAUAGGACGACUUAUUAAUUGUUAAAAUUGGAUAUUGAGUUUACGAGUAGGGGAACAUCCUUAUGGACUCCCAG
rnacentral:lncRNA from 1 species